AUUGAACGCUGGCGGCAUGCCUUACACAUGCAAGUCGAACGGCAGCACGGGAGCAAUCCUGGUGGCGAGUGGCGAACGGGUGAGUAAAGUAUCGGAACGUGCCCAGUCGUGGGGGAUAACGUAGCGAAAGUUACGCUAAUACCGCAUACGAUCUAUGGAUGAAAGCGGGGGAUCGCACGACCUCGCGCGAUUGGAGCGGCCGAUAUCAGAUUAGGUAGUUGGUGGGGUAAAGGCUCACCAAGGCGACGAUCCGUAGCUGGUCUGAGAGGACGACCAGCCACACUGGGACUGAGACACGGCCCAGACUCCUACGGGAGGCAGCAGUGGGGAAUUUUGGACAAUGGGCGAAAGCCUGAUCCAGCCAUGCCGCGUGCAGGAUGAAGGCCUUCGGGUUGUAAACUGCUUUUGUGCGGAACGAAAAGGUUUGGCCUAAUAAGCUGAGCUCAUGACGGUACCGUAAGAAUAAGCACCGGCUAACUACGUGCCAGCCGCCGCCGUAA
rnacentral:rRNA from 1 species